rnacentral:lncRNA from 1 species
AUGCGUGCGAACGCACCACAUUCCGGAACGGGAAGAAGGAGCUGUCUCUCUCUUCUGAGGGGUAGGCAGGUGCUUCCGAAUCGCGGAAUGUAGGUGCUCAUAAGCUGGAGACCCACGGAAAGAACCUAGAAGCUCCGAGCGGUUGCAGACAGCACUGCAUUGAGCCAACGACUCCUGCUCUACUGAUGGUGAUUCCACAGCUUUGUGAGGAAUAAGUUAAGAUGAAUUUCCCCUGGACUUCUUUCUCUCUCCUGCCGCCUUGUGAAGAAGGUGCCUGCCUCCCCUUCCACCACGAUUCUAAGUUUCCUGAAGUCUCCCCAGCCAUGCUGAACUGAUAAGGUCCAUCUUGGCAAAUGGUCUGUGUGCACAAGAAAGAAUGUGAAUUCUGCAGUUGUUGGAAUGUUAUCUUAUCUGGAAGAAGAGGAAUAGGAAAGAAAAGGAGUCAGGAAUGGAUCUUACUCAGAAGGCUGACUAGACACAGCCAGGUGGAAGAGCUCCCACUGCGGGACCAAGAUGACUGGAAUGCCCCUAACAGAUCUUCAGAGGGAAGAAACCAGGAGUGGACAGAGAGAAGACACAGAAGCUGGGCUGAAGGUAGUGAAAGCUGGGAAUGUGGCACAGGACUACUGCACACCAGGUUUUGUUCCUGGCCCACAAUGGCUCUGGGGGAUCAGCCGUGUAAGAUAUGCCUGCUUCCCCUUCACCUUCUGCUAUGAUUGGGAGUUUCCUGAGGCCUCCCCAGCCAUGCUUCCUGUACAGUCUGUGGAACCAUGAGCCAAUUAAACCUCUUUUCCUUAUAAA